rnacentral:rRNA from 1 species
GGUGGUGCAUGGCCGUUCUUAGUUGGUGGAGUGAUUCGUCUGGUUAAUUCCGAUAACGAACGAGACCUUAACCUGCUAACUAGUUCUCAAUACUCUGUAUUCUGCAACUUCUUAGAGGGACUAUGUAAAUCAAUUACAUGGAAGUUUGAGGCAAUAACAGGUCAGUGAUGCCCUUAUAUGUCCUGGGCUGCACGCGUGCUACACUGAUGCAUGCAACAAGUGCCUAACCAGACAUGGCAUGGCAAUCUCGAAUAUGCAUCGUGAUGGGGAUAGAUCUUUGCAAUU